UCAGUUAGUAGUCCAAUUUCAGCUUGGCGGCAUAAUUACUCUGACAGAGCUGUAGCCACGGGGCCUGUGAGUGGGGCUGCUUUUAAACCGUAAAUUAUGAAGGAUUAGCAUUUAUGAAUUUUAAAUCAGGGCUGGGGUAGGAGACACUAAAGCUGCUUAACGCUGGGGAACAGCAGCCUCCACUCAGUAGCAGAAGCCGUAACCCUUCCGCUCCCAGGACGGGCCAUAGGACGUGGGAACCCGAGACGCAGGAAGUGGUGACCUGUGGGACACGGAGCCCUAGGAGUUCGGAUCACGAGGGACAUGGGGAGUGGGGGAUGGGAGAGAGCACUGAAGCACUGAUGAAGCCCCUGGGGGCUAGAAGCCUGGGGUGAUGUGGACGUGGAGCAGGUGCUUUGGCUUCUCUCCUGGUCUGUGGGCUACAGUUUCCCUCUGGGAAGCAGCAGGGUCGUUGCCCGGAGCAAGCUUCGAGUGGCAACCCAGAAGUGAGGAGAAUCCCCAUCUGGCCGUGAGCCAGACUGACCCAGUGCCCUCCAGCUCCGAGUGUGACUUCCUGGCGUGCCCUGCUCUGCCGAGCUGGAGAAGGGCCACCAUCGGUGCUCUCUCGGGUAUGUGAUCUAAGUUCUCACCUUCCUUCCCACUCUUCCUCCGUCCCUCCUCCCCACCCGCCCCUCUCUGGCACCAUGGCAUCAUGGACCCUGUAAAACCAGAUAGAGCCGACUUGAAAUCUGGCUGUGCUCCUUAUUAGCGGGGUGACCUUGGGCAAGUUACUUAACCUUUCUCAGUCUCCAUCAUAGUUCAGUUCAAUGAAGACAGUAAUUCCUACCCUGCAGGGCUACUGGGAGACUUCCGUGAAAUACCGUGGGCGAAGUGCCAGGCACAGUGCUUGGCACACGGCAGGUGUUUACUGGGUCAGCCCCAUGCUCUUUGGAGUCUUCCCCAAACCUGAGUCAAUGCCCUGUGUCCACUGCCCUCUCUCUGUCCUCCAUUCCCCCAUCUCUCACAGAGCAUGGGACACUUCAGCGUAUGGCCUCAAGACCCAACAGGUUCUCCAGGACUGGCCCCUAUCAGGAGAAUCCCUCUGUCUAGGAAUCUGCACCUCAGCCUGACCUUAUUGGGAGUGGGAGCUGGUACCAAGGUUGGAUGCUGGGCACUAGUAGCCACUAGAUAUAGGUCUAGGACAUCUGCUGGACCACCAGAACGCUCUGGAGCCAGGCUGGCUGGGUUUGAACUCUUACUCUGCCAUUCACUAUCUGGGUGACCUUAACCAAGUUAUUCAGCCUCUCCAUGCCUCAAUUUUCUAAUCUGCAAAAUGGGAAUAAUAACAAGAGUAUCUCAUCAUGGUUCUGGUAGGAGGAUUCAUGAGUUCAUCAGUGUACAGCAUUCAGAACCACAUUUGACACACAGGAAGUACUAGCUGUGCUUGUUGUCAUUACUUGCUAUCCUUCUGAGGGGGUGACUGUCCUCUGUGGGACCUGCCUGUUCUGAGGUUGCAGAUUGAUUUCCCUGGGCUUGAGAU
rnacentral:lncRNA from 10 species